UCCGCGGGGCCGACUUGGGGCGGCCCCGAAGGGCCGGGAGAUCCCCGGGGCGGGAGGGACGCGACCCACCCAGGGCUUAGCCCUCGCUGCUUUCCACCCGCGGCCCGCUCCCCAGAGACCCCUUGGAGGCGCACGCUGUGAGGCGGGGGAGGCCUGCCUUCUGCCGCGGCCGUCAGCGCUGCUUUCCCGGUGCCCGCUGUCCCGGCCUGGGCACGGAGCAGAGGGCAGCCCGCGGGGAAAAGGCUCCCCGGGGUGGUGGCAGGCAGCGGCUGGCCGGGCCGGGCCGGGCCGGGCCGGGCUGUGAGGCACCUGCCUGGAGCUAGCAUCAAAUUCGUGCAGACUUGGAAACAAAAGCUGUGGAGCCAUCAGCAGCUGAACUGAGAAGCAGGACUGGGAACCCAGAUGCAAAGCCACAUGAAAUCAACUGCACAGCUUCCAGUUUCAGAGCCAGCCUCUCCAGCCAUAACCUGGGUCUCUUCCUGCACUGCUUCUGUGUGUAGCAUAGACAGGCACACUGUGGAAAUGAUGUGGUAAAGGGCUUGUGAAGCCAAGUGGAACCAUCAGUCUGGGAAUAUUCUGUGUGGCUCAGUUCUGAUUCCUGGGAAAAAAACCUUUCAAUAGAUAAUCUGUCAGGGAAGUUGUGUGCACAAGUGGUUGGUGUAUCAGGAGGCUAUUCAAGAAGAGAGUGGAGUAAACAAACAGUUUUUCUGAGAAGUUUAUGUAAGUGGACAGAGAGAAAGCUUGAAUCUCAGAAAAAUUGUCAGAGGAGAAAACACUGGGUGUACAGUUGGAUGAUAAAGAUUGCUAGUUUUGGAGUGAACAUUGUAUCACAGGGAUGGUUCAUGUAUUGCUGAGUCUAGGAUUUAAAACUGGGUAAGUAUGAGUGGAGGAAUGAUUCCUGUCAGAGAAACAGCUGUUGAUUGUGCUUGUUUGCUGUCAAAAUAUGGAAAAAUGCUGAAUGAACGUUCAACUGAUUGCUCAAUAAAAACACAAUUCUAGACAACUGCCAGAUUUGGCUCUGUGCCCUAAAUGAAUAUCCAGAUAUAGGAUACACAGCACUAAGCACGUUCAUUUUUGGAUAACAGAUUUGUGUGUAACAUCCUCUGCAAUGGCUUUAAUCAUAAGAAAACAUAGAAACUAAUUACAUUUUGAGAACAUUUUGAUAACUGUGUGUUGAAAACAGUGAAUGAAAAGAUGCUUCUGUGUACUGCAGGGGAUUGCAAAGUUCUCAUUAGAAUAUAUAAUUACAAAAUCAUAAUUAAGCUAGUAUGUUACUAAAAUAGAAAGCAUUUCACUUACAAUUUUUUUUUUCUUUAAAUAAUUUGGUCAAAACAAUCUGAAAUGUAGCUUUUAAUCUUUAUUACAUAAUAAAUGAAUGCAAUAUUUAUAGGAUUCGUAGAAGAUUGGUUAAAAGCUACUUUUCCUCAUAUGACAAAUAAUGCUAAUUUUUUAGUUGUUUGGGAAUUGCAAAGCAAAUGGGGGAAAAUUAAAAAAUCAUGUACAGAGAAUAAAUGAGAGAUAUCAAAAUACAGCAGUAGAAUUUAAAAGGUCAGCUUCCUCUUGUCAGCAGAGGCUCUCUAAAGGCUGUUCAAGAUGAGGAACUCAAUGCUGUAGCUACCUUCAGCUUGCAUGGUAUUUUGCAAAAUAAGCAUGGUAUUGAUGCAAAAACAAGGAACUGGCUUUUUUUAACACACAGCAUGCUAACAGUGAUAUAGGGAAACCUUCAUACCAUUGCUGUAGUCAGUGGUUUCAGACACAGCCACAGGAAUUUCAGUUUAGAUGCCCUGAGUUUAAAUAAGGGACUUUCAGGAAGUGUCAAAGUGGCUAGAGAUGGGAUUAAAUGAAUGGACACGGGUUAGGUGUUGGAACUGUGCAAGUAAAGAUGGAAACAGAAUUAAUGUAAGGAGAUCAAUUAUUGAGGAGUUGUAGUUAUAGAGGGAGAGGAAAUGAUCCAAAGGUGGAAGCACAUUCAAAAGCAAAAAGGGAAGCAGAGAAGCCACUAGAGGACUGCAAUGCAGGCUUGCAGAAAAAACUGAGACUUUUAAAUACAGCAUUUUAAUUAUCCUUCCAAAAAAAAAGAAGAAACAAGGAUAUAGAAGAAAUAUAUUCCAUAGGAUGUUGGAACAGAGCUCCAAUAGUCAGUUAGAAAUACUGAGAAAGACAUAUUCUGCAGAAAAAACUGCAUUUGGUUUUUCUUUUCUUUACAUAAGAAAGAACUGCAAGUGUCAAGGGCACAGCACAUGUGCUUUUAGUUGAUAUUAGUGUUCAUCAAAUGAAAGGCAAUGAGGGAAGGAGAUAUAAAAAAAUAAUUCUGAGUCUCUUGGCUAGGAUUUAAGAAAGUAAUCUACUUGAAGAUUUGUUUAAAAAUUCUAAUGCCAAGAGAAACUACAGGAAAUAAAUUUGCAUAAACUGUCAUUGCUCUUUAACAAGUUCCUAUGUAUCAAAACUUAAUAUCAAAAUGCAGUAAUACUUAAUAAUCAUGUCAACAUCUAACAGUUUCAGUUCUCGCCCUUUUUUGGAAAGUCAUCAAUUGAAACUAAUUACACUUUCCCCAGUACAACAGCAGAACUUUUUGAGCAAGUUCUCCUAGGCAGUGAUGAGAAUGAAUCCUGUUUACAGGGUAUUGGGUGGACUCUUCUGUGGAGUCUCUGGAAAUAGUUUUCUCCAGGUUGUUCUCUGGCCCUUUCAUGGGAGGGGUGGGGCCCUGUGUCUCUGGCCACAGCUGCACCCACGUUGAAAUGUCACCCUCCUCUCAGUGAUGGCAAGAGCCUGGUCCUGCUAACACCCAGCAGUGGUCAGAUGAUUUCUACCUUGGGGCCUUCUGCCCUGGCUGUUGGAAGGAUAUUCCAUAGCCCAGCAGAUCAGACCUUAAUGCUAAGCAUUUUCAUAUACUGAAAUCACAUUUUGUUUCAUCCUAGGUUGCAUUUAACAUUUACAGUUCUCUUAUGCUGUGCACUGAAUGCCAUAGAUCAUAGAAUUGUAGAAUUGUCAAGGUUGGAAAAAGCCUCUAAAAACAUUGAGUCCAGUUGUUAACCCAGGACUGCCAUGUUCACUACUAAACAAUGUCCCCAAGUGCCACAUCUACACAUCUUUCCAACAACUUCCCUGGGCAGCCUGCUUUCCUGAAUAGCACCAUACACUGAUGUUUCCACCAGAAAUCUCUGUUAAUCUUUUGAGCUUCACAAGUUUAGGAUACACUACACUUGGUAACUUGUUUCUGAAUGAAUUCUAAUAUUCUGUGGAAUUUAUAUGAAGGAAAACACAGUACUUGAAAUAUAAACUGGCUGGUGCCAGAUGGAGCAAGGCCACUGCAUGUACUGAUGGGUCAGCCUGAGUAUUCAGGUCAAAUGCCCCACAACUUUUUCACUUGAGUUUUAGCAAUAUCAAGUGAGAUUUCCACAAACAAUUUUAUAACCCAUACCAAUUCCAUGGUUUACUUUGGAGUAUCUUCUCUCUUGUGUUAUUUGCCUGCAUUUUUCUGAGGUCAGGAAUGGUUUAUUUUAUCUAGUUUAUCUGGAGCUCUGCUUUUUUUCUGCUGAAUAUUUUUACACAAUUUGGAUAUAAUUUCCAAGAUUAAUUAAUGUGUUGUUUGAUUUUUCUUCUGAAAUACAAAUGAAAAUUGUUGAGACCAAACCUAAAAACAACAGUUAAAAUAUUCAACUAGAUGCUUUUUCCUCACUUUCUAUGUUACAAUUUAUCAUUGUCUUUUGUGUAAACUAUCUUUCUCAAUCUUCUGUUUGAUUACGUAGUAUAAGAUUUACUAUUCUUUUUAAAAUGACAGUAUAUCCUUCUGAGAGCUGGGAAGCACAGAAAUACAAUAAAUCCAUAUGGAUUUAUUCUACAGCAUGUGACUGAUGGAUCAAAUGAGCACUCAGCUCUCAUAAUGAGCUUGAAAGGAGGAGAGAGAGACAGAGAAGUGUGGUGUGACAAGACUGAAGGAAAGAGAAGAAAAACCUUUUGGGAUUCAACCCUGUUUUUCUCUCUCCUUUGCUCUUUAGUGUUUGUCAAGGACGUAAACAGUCAUGUAUGCCCUGAGGCCAGAGCUUAAAGAACAUGAGUCCUGUACUGGUUUGUUAUAGGACUGACACAAGAUAUCCCCACCACUGUGGUUGCAAACACAUUAAAAAAAAACCCUGCCCCCUCCCAAAGAAAAGGAGAAAAAAAACGCAACUUUGUUGAGAUUUGAAGGUGAAUUAAAACAUAAGUCUCAUUUAUUUACUCGUUUUCCUGAAAAUGCACAUCUGUUAACAGAAAUGUUUUAAAAGCUUUGUGUACAUCUUUGGUGUCAGUCAACAAUGAAGUUUCUAAAGCACAGAGUACAAAAGCAUGUAAUGUAGAUAAUCUCAAAUCUAUGAUAUUUUUGUUUUUGAAUAUGUUAAUAGGAGGUUUUAGUACAAACAACUGUAUGUUAUUUUUUAUUUAAGUUGUAGUAUUUUAUUUUUAGUUAGAAUAUGAAAAUCACUAAAAUAUCCUGAUCGUCUUUCAUUGAUUCUUUCCAAAGCUUCUGUUAACUUUACGACCUCAAAUGUUAAAAAAAUGCAUUCCUGUGAAAUUUAAAUCAUAUUGCACAAUUUCAGUACUGUCAGGUCGUUUGUUUAAAUCUACCACAGUUGUACUUAUAUUUUGGAUUAAAAGAAAUGCAGUCUUGAAUAAGAAACAAUUGCUUAGAUAGGAACUUCUGAAAUGCUGAGAUUUUAAGAUCCUAGUGAUCAUAAUAAUUUGAAAGGUGUGAAAAUGGAAAUACAUGCAUGAAAUGCCAUCCUGAAACAGCAAAGUCCAAAGACACAUCUUGUUUUUCUAAUAUCAGGCAAGCAAUUGAACAGACUCAGUGGAAAUAAAGGGCUUUUGCAAUAAAAUACUGUAUUCUUCAGAGUUUAUACAUGAGAAAUAAUAUUCUGAAGGUCUGUGGCCCUUGCAUAGCAUUAAAUGUCAUUCCAAGGUGAAAAGAAAAUUGCAUCUGAGGGCAAAUAGUUUCAUUAUUUCAGAAUUAUUUCAUUAUUUCAUAUUACUACAGUCAGUCUGCUUCCAAAUUUCAGUAACCAUUAAAGCCAUCUCAUCUCCACUGAAUCUGAAAAUGUUUUAGGUUUUGAUUGCCCUGGAGAAAAGUGAGAUAAGUUUUGGGAACAAAGAUGAUGUGUUAGGGUCGGCCACCUUGUAUCUCUGACAGAAGAACAUUUAUUUGUUUUUUUCUUCAGCUGCCUCAUAUAUGAGCUGGUUCAGGUGUCUGCAAAGUGGAAAGUUGUAAUACAUUUUUUAUAAAGAAAGAUGAGCAAAAGCAUCACAAAUUCUACUCACAAACAAAAGUCAUACAAAUACAGAAAAAAAAAAAAGGUGUUUUUCAGGUUAUGGUUCAAUUUUAUGCUACUGUAUUACUUCAGCCAGUUCUGGCACAAAAUACAUUCUGAACUCUAAUGAAAGACCAUGUCUGCUAUAAAAUUUUUUUUCUUAUUAUUUUAUUAUAAGUCUCACACUGUCUGGGAUUUGAUAUGCUGCAUUGCUGCUCUUAGACUUAUAAAAAUAGGCUGGAAAACAUGAGACCCAGAAGCUGAGACAGCUACAAAGCAAGUGAAACUUAUCCAUUAAUUAAUUUUUUUUUAACUGAAAAGUUAAAGAUGUUUUGCACUAUUGAUGUGAUAUUAUGGGAAAAAAGGUGUAUCAUUUUUUCAGGUAAACAAAAGAGUUCCAGACAAGAUUUUACUACUGACUUUUACUACUGUCUUGUCAAGACAGUAAGAGUAAUUUGUUUUCUGCCUGUUUGUGGUUGCCUGGACAUUUGGUCUAAGAAUAUCUUUAUAUUUUCAUCAUAGCAGAUGGAACUGAAAUGGGCUAUACAUUGGCUCCACCCAUCCCACUCCAUAUCCAGAGCAACAGAGGCAGAAGCAGGUGUCUGUCCUUACUGUUGAUACAAAUCCAAAGCAGUCUGCUGUUAAUAUCUCAGCGAAUAGUCUGCAUUAACAGAGCUUUUCCUGAUGGCAAAGAUACCUUACCAUUGUGUACACAAACCAAAGUCACCAAAAGGACUUAUCCUGUCACUGCUAAAUCAAAUUAACUAUUGCUAAGGUCAGAUCAAAAUGGUGUUUCACACAAGCUGUUGCACAGCCGUCCUGUGUGCCAGUAUAGGGAUACCGGCAAAGUAGAGAUACAACUUUGGACCAGAAUAAGAAAGAAAACGUUUUUAAUUCUUCAAAGUGCAGCACUGAAUUGUCCAGUAUUGGGUCUACACACUGAGGGGCUUAUCAUGGUGUUGAGAUAGCUAGAUAGAAGUGCAAGGUUUGGGUAAAGGGGGUGCAAAGUGUGAGACCAUAAAUAGGUAUAUAGGAAGAGCUGUUCUCUGCUUACUGCUGUAUGGUGCAAAGAGCUAUGAGCUAGUAUUGAUGGGACUAAUUCACUGUGCUCUGAGUCAACAUGAAUGUGUCAUCCUCAGGACUGCUGCCAAUAGUUCUGCCUUUAGAAACCCCAUAGAGCCUCAGCAACCUGGACUGUUGGCUGUGAGCAACAAGCCUCAUGUAAUGAUGGGUACAUGUUCAAAACUGAGAUGUGUGCAAAGGCACAUCACAACCUCCCCCUUCACACAACCCCCUAUACUGGCUGAUUGGAUUGUUCUUAGUUCAAAUUACGUUUUCCUUGCUUUGGACAAGGAGGGAUGAAAGUGAGUUUGGGGGAGAAGAGGAAAGUGAUCAUUAGCAUGAAGUAUGAUUGGUUUGCCUAUAUUUCUUUUGCACAAAGAAUGUGAAAUUUAUGGGUGGGUUUUGUCAUAUCCCUUGCUUCUGUAGCAGUGCUUAGAGGAUGUUUCCCAUGCUACAGGUCAGUUCUGCUCAGCCUUCAUUCCUUGUUCAUGCUAUUCUGCUUGCAGUGAUGGGAAAACUCUUCCUUCAACCUAGCAACACAGAGUGGUUGAAAGCAAAUUGUAUCCGGUUAUACGACAAGAGAUGGGAAGGUUUUGCCUGCACAGGUGGGUGGCUUCCUUUCUUCAGGAAGAUUUUUCUCCAUGCUUAUAUCUGAACAUAACAGUAAUUAUGAAGUUUUAGCCUUCUGAAAAGGAUUUUAAACACUGCUCUUCCUGCUGGGACCCUGUUCUUACCUUCAUUUAUAUUUUUGAAAGACAAUGCACAGAUAAUUAAUAAUCAACUUUCCAGUUGCAUUCCUGUUGAAAACAAUUCUAAUUCAAAAUUUUGCUAUAUGCAGAAGUUGACUGUCUCAGAGAUUCAGCUAGCACAAUGGAUUAUUUUUUUAGAUAAAAGUCAUUGCUUCUCAGUUAUGGCUGUGUACUGCAAGCAGGGAAUUACAUUAUACUUUACAAAACCCUAUUUUCCCCUCUCAGGUUCAUAUGCAACAGGAUUUUUUCCUUCAAUGAUAGUGAUGUUCUUCAAAGAAUAAGGUCAAAGUAAUGUAAAAUCAGGAUGUGACAAAGUUAUAUGCAACAUUUUCAUUUUUCACCACCGUCAUACAGCUAUUUCAUUCACAUUGGAUGCCAGCAAAAAUACUGUAUUUAAAUACAAAGCAAGUGCAUGAGUGAACUAUAAGAUUGAAUGAGUUUCUUAUCAGUGUUACUGAUAAGACUGGGAAUUUAAAUACAUACAGGUGUUCCUUAUCAUCUUUGCUGAGACAGACAAUGCACCCUUGACAGCUUUAAGCAUUUGGUGGCUGCAAAGCUGUUUCUUUGUUCACAAAGAUAUUGUGAAGAGGAAAACAUGCCCAGUAUCCAAACAAGAAAGCAGACAGAGCCAGUUUGUUGUCAGUCGUCCAGAAUCACAUUCCAGCAGGGUACUCUGAGCACCAUUAUGCUGCCACUUGUCCUCCUGGCACAUGUCAGGACAAGGUGUUUGCAAUCAAGGCAGCAGAUGGUUCUUUGGGUUGCCUAAAAUCAGGGUGAGCAUGACACAUCAUUUAUGAUUCUGCAGAGAACUAAAUAUUAGGCAUAGGCAUAGGGUAUUCAAGGUAUCCUGUAUUCCAUUAAUCCCUUCACACAGAGCAGUACCCCCAAGUUUCUGAAGGGUUUUUCUAUUAUUGUGCUUGCUAGUUUCGUAUCUGGUGAUGCAUAUGCAUUUAACCCAUCCAUUUAAACCCAAUUAAAGACAACUGUUUGGGGAAUAUUUCAAGUUUUGACUACACUGGUGAACAGCACAGCAUGAGCUGCCUUGAAAACAUCUGUGACUGCUAGGCCAACGAUUGAAUUGCCAACACUCAAUUCUUAGCCAAUUCAUUUCAUUCUGUUUUGCCAAGCUCCGGAGCAAAAGCAACACAGUUCUGAGCACUGAUGGCACAAUGGCUAAAACCCCCAAAAGUUUCAGCAUUGCAGAAAUUUCAUGACCCUGCUGCUGCUUGUAUCCCAUUUUCACAAUGGUAUUUCCAAAAUAAAGGAGAGAAAUAGGGAAGAAUACAGACCUUCAGUGUGCCUUCUGUGCCCCGUCAGCUUGAGUUGUACUGGGAAAUGUUUCCAAGUGUUAGACUGUUUCAUAUUUUAACACUCACUAUACAUUGGCUGAGAGCAUUCCACAGAGCAAUGAGCAAUGAUAUUAAGGGCUAGAGAACAUGUAUUCUCUUAGCUGAAUUGCUUGUUACAGCCAAAUGCAGAUACAGAGUGUGGACAUCAAUCACUGCACUUACAUUAAUGAUGUGAUGCUUCUGCAGUGGAUCAGAAUCUAUGCCUUAAAUAAUCUGCAAGUAGCAUUAAAUGGCUUUUAGCAUGCAUUAUCAGUGAAGUUCUGAGGGGGAGGCCAGUUAUCAGAACCUCACUCAGAUACAGCACAAAAGUCUUCUGAGGACAAAAGGGAGAAAGGAGUAAAGCAAGGAAGGAGUGGGAGGGAAUGGGAGAAGGUUUUCAGUUACUUUAUCUUCUGAGCUGAUGCCCGCUCUGUCUCCUACUGUGUAAGGUCCUCUUCACUUUGGAGUGAGGUGACCAAGAACACAAGGUUUACAAAACAAAUGAGAACAGAGAUUCGAAUAUACAUGGCCUGCAGUCAGUAGCAGAGAUUUAAUUCUUCUGUAGGGUGUUCCCUCUCUCCUGCCUCUGUUACCAGUUCAAUUAAUUUUUUGAUAUCUGUUCCUUGGGAAUGGUUUCUUUCAUGCCUAUGAAAAAUUUACCUCAUGAAUGCUGUACCUCAGCCUAUUGCCUGUUAUAUAUGGAAAUGAUGAGGAAGGAAAGCAGAAACACCUUGUUUUCUUCCUGAAAUAUACAUGUUCUUCAAAUUACCAAUACUGAGCUUUAAAAAAUGCUGAGGUUUUACCAAAAUAAACUAUUGCUAUAUUAACCCUUUCCCAGGUUUGUAACCUUUAGAAGUCACUUCUUCCAGUACAUUUGUAAAACAAAAGUCAUAAAAGUGAUGUACUAUGAGUAGAAGGUGAGAUUGUCAUGACUUCAUGAGCAAAACCACUGAGUAAGACAGGAAAAAAAGAUCAGAAAAGGUGGCAUUAGUGCCAGCUAGAGCAUCUUGGCAUUUCAUAUAGUGAAACCAAGUCAGUGAAAGACACACACAAACAAAUACCAGUUGCUUAAUUCUUCACCUCUGAUACCUUGUUAUAACAUCUAAAUGCACACACCCACCUAGAAGCAUGCCACAAGGUUUUCAGUGGUCUUUUAAAAAAAUCUGCCUUUGAACUUGUGCUGGUUUCAGCUGAGGUGGAGUUAACUUUAUUUGCAGCUUAUGGUAUGGGGCUGUGUUUUGAAUUUGUGCUGAACAUAGGGUUGGUAAUACAGAGGUGGUUUUGUUAUUGCUGGAUAGGGCUUACACAUUCAAGACAUUUUCUGAUUUUCAUUCUGCCACGUUGGUGAGGAGGUUGGGACUACAUGAAAGAUCGGGAAGAGACACAGCUGGGACAGGUGACCCAAACUGACCUAAGGGAUAUUCCAGAGCGUGUGGCAUCAUGCUCAGUGUAUAAAGAGGGAGGAAGAAGGAGGAGAAGGGGACAUUUGGAGUGAUGCUGUUUGUCUACCCAAGUCACCAUUACCCAUGAUGGAGCCCUGCUCUCCUGGAGAUGACUGAACGCUGGCCUGCUUGUGGGAAGCACUGAGUUAAUUCCUUGUUUUGCUUUACUUGUAUAUGUGGUUUUUGCUUUCUCCAUUAAACUGGCUUUCUCUCAA